rnacentral:lncRNA from 1 species
AAAGGAUGUUCCCAGAAUGCUGCUCUCCCAGAAGCUCCCUCUGUUAACUCCUGGCUAUUCCCUCUCUUUCAAAAUGUAAACAAAACUCUGCUGCUCAGCUACUGAUGCUAAAACGCGAGAAUGGAAAUGGAAUUAGUCAAGCCUAUGGAUGUUGUGAGUGCCUGCAUAGUUGAAAUCUGGCAGCUGAAACAUCACAUUUUGCUGCUGCUGCUGCUGCUGCUAAGAAUCCUUUCUUCUCACCUCUGGGUGCCUGAAAGUCAGCAGGAGUUACAAGCGGAAAUUUGGCCAAAAUGCAUUGCACUCUGAAAGAAAAUGCUUAAUUUCUCUAAAAGUGAAGGACUUGCUGAGAAAAAAAUGUUGAAAAUAUAAUGAGCAGGCAUUUCAAUGCAAAAGGUGAUACAAUAUACCCAUUACGUUGCUAUUCUCAUGGGACAGAACCAACCUUUGACUUUUGUAUAAACUAUCUGGCAAUAUUACGUAAGACACCUCCUAUUUGUAGUUCUGUUUCAGAACAUAGUAUAUAAUCUGGUAUAUAUCAUAAUGAAUAAAGUCAUAAUGAAUAAAAUCAAAAUAGGGUGCCGCCCUAUUUGAUAAUAAAACUUUUCAUGUCACUGAAUGCAUAUAUUUAUCAAACUUCCUGUACUAAAAUGAAAUACACAUAUAUAAGCAGGCAUACUCCAAAAAUUUAACAGGAAUAAUUUAACACUCUUGAGACAGGAGUAAUACAAGGUGGUCACAGG